UACGAAGGGGGCGAGCGUUGUUCGGAAUUACUGGGCGUAAAGGGCGCGUAGGCGGCCCUCUUUGUCGCGUGUGAAAGCCCCGGGCUCAACCUGGGAACGGCGCGCGAAACGGGGGGGCUGGAGUUCGGGAGAGGAGCGUGGAAUUCCCGGUGUAGUGGUGAAAUGCGUAGAUAUCGGGAGGAACACCAGUGGCGAAGGCGACUACCUGGCCUGUUCUUGACGCUGAGGCGCGAAAGCUAGGGGAGCAAACGGG
rnacentral:rRNA from 1 species